GAUGAACGCUGGCGGCGUGCUUAACACAUGCAAGUCGAACGGAAAGGCUCCUGCUUGCAGGGGUACUCGAGUGGCGAACGGGUGAGUAACACGUGGGUGAUCUGCCCUGCACUUCGGGAUAAGCCUGGGAAACUGGGUCUAAUACCGGAUAGGACCAUCGUUUAGUGUCGGUGGUGGAAAGUUUUUUCGGUGUGGGAUGAGCUCGCGGCCUAUCAGCUUGUUGGUGGGGUAAUGGCCUACCAAGGCGUCGACGGGUAGCCGGCCUGAGAGGGUGUACGGCCACAUUGGGACUGAGAUACGGCCCAGACUCCUACGGGAGGCAGCAGUGGGGAAUAUUGCACAAUGGGCGCAAGCCUGAUGCAGCGACGCCGCGUGGGGGAUGACGGCCUUCGGGUUGUAAACUGCUUUCGCCAGGGACGAAGCGAAAGUGACGGUACCUGGAUAAGAAGCACCGGCUAACUACGUG
rnacentral:rRNA from 1 species